UGGCGGGGGUUGGGGGAGUGUAGGAACGAGGGGAAGGGGAAGCUGAGGCAGAGAGGAGAGAAAUCACUCAACACACGCAGCAGCCACGCCGGACCCGAAACGGCGUUGAACCGCAGAGGGACCCGCGGCAACAAGGCGACUGAAGCCGUGAAAUGGGGCCGUGUGGCUUUAAGAUGCACACGGUGUGUGUUCAUUGAAAAAAAAAAAAAAGAAGAAAGAAAGGAAAGAAAGAAACCCAGAUGGAGAAAGGGGGAGGAGCGGGGGAGAGGGCGGAGCUCGCGCGGCCACGUGACCUAGGCCGGCCGGCGCGCGCUCGGCCGCCCGGAGGUCUAUUGCGCGCGCGCGUCUCCGAGUGCACGCGCCCGAGCUCCCGGACUCCCCGCGCGGCGCGGAAAGAGCAGCCUCACUACAUUCCCUCUAGCUGUUUCUGCUUCCUGCUUUCACUGGGAGAUCCUGCCCCCUGGAUCUCGAACCAGCAAAACGUUUGCGGUACGCCGGGCGGGGUAGAGUGACCUGUAGAAUAAAGACAAAGAGAAGAAAGUCUGGGGGUAUUCACGAGAUCAGGAGGAGGACCGGAGGACCCGGACAGCGCGGAAAUUCAAAAGUCUGAACUCCAAGGGAGCACGUGAUUUUGUGUGCUGUUCUGGGAAGGGCUGCUGAAAUCCAGAAGGGAAGACGAGCACUGUCCAAUGAAAAUGAUACUUCGUAGUUAAUAAAUAAUAUCGCGGGAGAACUGGGCUCGACCAUAGCAAGUUCAAUCUUUGAGCAAAAUUCUUAUCUUUAUUAUGCUUGAUAAAUAGCAAACAGCAGGAAAGGUGAUUUACUCUAGCUUUUUUUUA